AUUGAACGCUGGCGGCAUGCCUUACACAUGCAAGUCGAACGGUAACGCGGGGCAACCUGGCGACGAGUGGCGAACGGGUGAGUAAUAUAUCGGAACGUGCCCAGUAGUGGGGGAUAGCCCGGCGAAAGCCGGAUUAAUACCGCAUACGACCUACGGGUGAAAGGGGGGGAUCGCAAGACCUCUCGCUAUUGGAGCGGCCGAUAUCAGAUUAGCUAGUUGGUGGGGUAAAGGGCCUACCAAGCCUACGAUCUGUAGCUGGUUUGAGAGGACGACCAGCCACACUGGGACUGAGACACGGCCCAGACUCCUACGGGAGGCAGCAGUGGGGAAUUUUGGACAAUGGGCGCAAGCCUGAUCCAGCCAUGCCGCGUGCGGGAAGAAGGCC
rnacentral:rRNA from 1 species